rfam:Human herpesvirus 4 complete wild type genome
CAGCUGUUGUUUGUACUGGACCCUGAAUUGGAAACAGUAACUUGGAUUCUGUAACACUUCAUGGGUCCCGUAGUGACAACUAUGCUG